CGUCUGCGUUGUAUGCGUCGCUGUCCGAAGACACAUUUGUUUCCGGACAAUAACUUUAGUUUAAGUGAAUGGAUCUCUAUGAAAUUUUUUUAGAAGGUUCAAUACCACAAAAGGAAGGUUGAGAUUGAUUUUAGGGAUGAUGGUCCCAACCGUUUAGGAAUUAGGGGCCCAAAAGGGACCCAAAACAAGCAUUUAUCUAGUUUCAGGACAAUAACUUGUGUAUAAGUAUUUCAAUUGCUCUGAAAUUGUACCACAAUGUUUAAUACCACAAGUAGAAGGUGGGGAUUUAUUUUAAGGGUUAUGUGGCAAACAGUAUAGGAAUUAAGGGCCAAAAACAAGCAUUUUUCUAGUUUCCGGACAAUAACUUGUGUGUCAGUGUAUGGAUCUCUCAGACAUUGUACCACAAGGUUCCAUAUCACAAAGGGAAUGCUGGGAUUGAUUUUGGGGGUAAUUGCCUCAAAAUUUUAGGAAUUAGGGGCCAAAAAAGGGGCAAAAAACAAGCAUU